UGGGUUCUGCCUGGCUCGUCAGGAGCUCAUAUAACUCGGGGCCAUACGAUUCUUAAGGGAGUUGUCCCUGGUUGAGACCGUGGUCUCUUUCACACGACGCCCACCUACUUGUGUAGGUCUCCGAGAAUCAACGCACCAACGGCCAAGGCGGACCCACU
rnacentral:other from 1 species